UUUAUGGAGAGUUUGAUCCUGGCUCAGGAUGAACGCUGGCGGCGUGCCUAAUACAUGCAAGUCGAGCGAACAGACGAGGAGCUUGCUCCUCUGACGUUAGCGGCGGACGGGUGAGUAACACGUGGAUAACCUACCUAUAAGACUGGGAUAACUUCGGGAAACCGGAGCUAAUACCGGAUAAUAUAUUGAAUCGCAUGGUUCAAUAGUGAAAGACGGUUUUGCUGUCACUUAUAGAUGGAUCCGCGCCGCAUUAGCUAGUUGGUAAGGUAACGGCUU
rnacentral:rRNA from 1 species